rnacentral:rRNA from 1 species
AAGCUCGUAGUUGAAUUUCGGGAUCAGUAAGCUGGUCGUACCUUCGGUGUCACUGAUUCCUCCCUUCUGAUGAACCGUUAUGCUAUUUAGUUGGUGUGGCGGGGAAUCAGGACUGUUACUUUGAAAAAAUUAGAGUGUUUAAAGCAAGCUCGCGCUUGAAUACAUUAGCAUGGAAUAAUAAAAUAGGACGUUUGAUCUCCUAUUUUGUUGGUUUCUAGGAUCGACGUAAUGAUUAAUAGGGAUAGUUGGG